UACGAAGGGGGCUAGCGUUGCUCGGAAUGACUGGGCGUAAAGGGCGCGUAGGCGGAUGGCUUUGUCGGGCGUGAAAUUCCAGGGCUUAACCUUGGGGCUGCGUUCGAGACGGGUUGUCUUGAGUGGGGAAGAGGGUCGUGGAAUUCCCAGUGUAGAGGUGAAAUUCGUAGAUAUUGGGAAGAACACCGGUGGCGAAGGCGGCUCUCUGGGACGGUACUGACGCUGAGACGCGAAAGCGUGGGGAGCGAACAGG
rnacentral:rRNA from 1 species